rnacentral:rRNA from 1 species
ACCUACGAGGGGCAGCAGUGAGGAAUAUUGGUCAAUGGGCGCGAGCCUGAACCAGCCAAGUAGCGUGAAGGAUGACUGCCCUACGGGUUGUAAACUUCUUUUAUAAAGGAAUAAAGUGAGGCACGUGUGCCUUUUUGUAUGUACUUUAUGAAUAAGGAUCGGCUAACUCCGUGCCAGCAGCCGCGGUAAUACGUAGGUGGCAAGCGUGAUCCGGAUUUAUUGGGCGUAAAGGGAACGCAGGCGGACUUUGAAGGCUGAUGUGA